AUUGAACGCUGGCGGCAGGCUUAACACAUGCAAGUCGAGCGGGGAAAGGUAGCUUGCUACCUGACCUAGCGGCGGACGGGUGAGUAAUGCUUAGGAAUCUGCCUAUUAGUGGGGGACAACAUCUCGAAAGGGAUGCUAAUACCGCAUACGUCCUACGGGAGAAAGCAGGGGACCUUCGGGCCUUGCGCUAAUAGAUGAGCCUAAGUCGGAUUAGCUAGUUGGUGGGGUAAAGGCCUACCAAGGCGACGAUCUGUAGCGGGUCUGAGAGGAUGAUCCGCCACACUGGGACUGAGACACGGCCCAGACUCCUACGGGAGGCAGCAGUGGGGAAUAUUGGACAAGGGGGGGAACCCUGAGCCAGCCAUGCCGCGGGUGUGAAGAAGGCCGUUUGGUUGUAAAGCACGUUAAGCGAGGAGGAGGCUACCGAGAUUAAUACUCUUGGAUAGUGGACGUUACUCGCAGAAUAAGCACCGGCUAACUCUGUG
rnacentral:rRNA from 1 species